rnacentral:rRNA from 1 species
CCUACGGGAGACAGCAGUGAGGAAUAUUGGUCAAUGGGCGCGAGCCUGAACCAGCCAAGUAGCGUGAAGGAUGACUGCCCUACGGGUUGUAAACUUCUUUUAUAAAGGAGUAAAGUGAGGCACGUGUGCCUUUAUGUCUGUACUUUAUGAAUAAGGAUCGGCUAACUCCGUGCCAGCAGCCGCGGUAAUACGGAGGAUCCGAGCGUUAUCCGGAUUUAUUGGGUUGAAAGGGAGCGUAGAUGGGUUGUUAAGUCAGUUGUGAAAGUUUGCGGAUUAACCGUAAAAUUGCAAUUGAUACUGGCAGUCUUGAGUACAGUUGAGGUAGGCGGAAUUCGUGGUGUAGCGGUGAAAUGCUUAGAUAUCACGAAGAACUCCGAUUGCGAAGGCAGCUUACUAAACUGCCACUGACAUUGAUGCUCGAAAGUGUGGGUAUCAAACAGGAUUAGAUACCCUUGUAGUC